GAGCGCAUGAAACAAAACAGAAGCCUUCGGGUGGAAGAUUUGUGGAUUGAGCGGCGGACGGGUGAGUAACACGUGGGCAACCUACCUAUAAGACUGGGAUAACUCGUGGAAACAGGAGCUAAUACCGGAUGUAUCGUUUGAACGCAUGUUCAAACAAAUAAAGGCGGCUUUACGGCUGUCACUUAUAGAUGGGCCCGCGGCGCAUUAGCUAGUUGGUGGGGUAAUGGCUCACCAAGGCGACGAUGCGUAGCCGACCUGAGAGGGUGAUCGGCCACACUGGGACUGAGACACGGCCCAGACUCCUACGGGAGGCAGCAGUAGGGAAUCUUCCGCAAUGGACGAAAGUCUGACGGAGCAACGCCGCGUGAACGAUGAAGGUUUUCGGAUCGUAAAGUUCUGUUGUUAGGGAAGAACACGUACCGUUCAAAUAGGGCGGUACCUUGACGGUACCUAACGAGAAAGCCCCGGCUAACUACGUGCCAGCAGCCGCGGUAAUACGUAGGGGGCAAGCGUUGUCCGGAAUUAUUGGGCGUAAAGCGCGCGCAGGCGGUCUUUUAAGUCUGAUGUGAAAUCUUGCGGCUCAACCGCAAGCGGUCAUUG
rnacentral:rRNA from 1 species